rnacentral:misc_RNA from 1 species
CCUGUUGCAAGCGCCUGCAAUC